CUGAGAACAAAUGAAAAUAAGUUGGUUUUAUUUUCCAAGCUUUUUCCAAGAGGCUCUUUUGGGACCUCACUCCCUAAUAUCUUCUCAUAAUGUUGCAGGCUUUCGGAACUAGUGAUGAAGCCCUCUAACAAUUUCCAGUGGCGAGUGAUUUCCAUUUGAAGCCCGGCCAUCAGUAGAAUCAUUGAUGAUGGUGAAGCAAGCUAUAUUACAGAUGUAUCCUGUCUUGUCUCUAUCUCACUUGAAGGUACCUCAAGAUUUUCCUUCUACUUUUAUGACUGACCGCCAUUUUUGAAACAGUGACAGGAGGAGACUAGCAACUUUUCCGUAAAAUUUCUUUUUUCUUGUUCUGUUUACUUAUAAAGCUACAAUGGGUGGGGGGGGGGAGGGGGGCUCCAUUUAAAGUUUUAUUAUUUUGGUGAUAUGCCUCCCCCUUUGAGCCUGCCGGGGGGGGGGGGGGAAGGAGAGGUAUUGCAGUCUCUUGAAAUUUUUUGGAACAACAAUCCAAAUUGGAAAGUUUUAACUUAAAAAUGAAAGAAAGCUACAAUGUAUCACGUGUUUUUUUGUGUAACCUAGUACCUACACUAACAAUGAGUGGCAAAGAAACUUCUCUAAAUUUGCAGUGCUAAGGAAGAACGCCAUAUGAGCUUUCAGACAUUGCCAUAUUUCCCUCAAUAAAAAACUAACUUUCUGGAAAAUUGUGAAUAUUUUUCUCUAAACUUUUCAGACAAUUUUCUUCGCAAUUUAAUCUUAAAUAUCUGAAAAUUUUAAGGGAACAUAUGUACAACUUUCCUCAAAAUACAUGUUUUUCCGGGAAAAUCUGGCAACUCUUGAAUAUUCAUACGGUGUUCUUGGCAGGAAUUCCACAUUUCGUAUUACAUUGCUCAGAUUAGAGAGAUACUGGAGUUAUUCCUCAAUUCAUCACCGUUUCAAGAGGAUGUUUUGAUAUAAAAUGAUGGGCAUCAAGCUACUGAUAAACACACAUCUGAAGAGAGGGUUUCCUUGUUCCCAGCGAGGUCAGAUACCAGAUUUGUUAUCUCUCUCAUCUACUCUUGCAAUCAGGUGGAAGGAGGACUCUGUUACCUCUGUACCCGUGCUCAUUGUCAGUUUUAAGUGUGAUGUGAAGAAGGUGGUCAUUAUGGAGUUCAAAGAACCUUUCUGGAAAGAUGCUAUUCCCCUCAGUUCUUGCAGAGUUUGCAUCAAAUCUUUCUGCUGUAAACAACAUCGGAUUGCUCACGAGACUGAAGUGCACCCAAGCCAAGUAUCCGAAGUUGAAUCUUUACCAGAAAUAUGCCAGAAAUGUCAUGUCCUCGUGAGUGACUGCAAAGACCUUAAAAGUGAAUGUGUCAAAAUUGUAAGUGUUCCAUUAACAAAUAUCAAUCCAAAUACACCAAUAAUCAAUCGUGUACAUAAGAGAACUUAUGCUCAAAUGAACAUAGCCAAAGAGCGGCGUCCAACACCAAUGCCAACCAAUGCUCAUCCUUUGCGAGCCAAAAGAAAUGCAAAAAGGAAAGCUUGCAAGUCCAAAGAAACCUCCACCAAAGAAAUACUGAAGGAAAAUUCCUCUGAAACAAGUCCUCGAUUUGAAGAAAUCAAGUCCAGUAGCACUCCGAUUCGCAACCACCAUGAUCCUUUGCGGGUGAAAUUACUAAAAAGUAAAAUUGAGGUCCCAAGACAGACUCUAAGUGUGAGUACACGGACUCUGUCACCAUCACCUCAGCGCAAAAGACCAAACUUGUCCAUUGAAAAAAGUUGUCUAAUUUCAAGUGAAGUAAAAAAUGCUGUCUCUGAAUCUCCUCCACAAAACACAAUGGAUAUUUCUGUCUAUGGAACUCCUUGUGCCGAAAUAGUCACUCCAUUUCACUGUCCCAAAAAACACAACGUUCAUUUUACUCACGUCUCUAUUUAUGAAGCAACAAAGUCAAGGGACUCUUCAACUUCUGCUAGCAUGAACUUCAGUGACAACUUUUCAAAAGAAGACAUCAAUGUUGCUGGAGAAGCAGAAAAUGAAUGCGGUGCAUUUGUUCAUUCGAGAGACCAACUAAUGGACGGAAAUCACGCACCUGUUGAAAGUAUUUCCAGAAACAACCCACAGCCAACAGCUAACCUUCAAUGCAUGGAUACAAGUGUAGACAUCUCCAAAAACAUAGUUGCUCUAGCUAAGGACUCUUUGGAAUCAAAUCUCAGGCAAGAUUCUUUGAACUCAUCACCUUGCUCCAACGCUCACACCCACACGAAAACACCAGAUUGCACAGUCUUUUUUCACCUCAUCCCAUCAAAGCUGAUCUAUCUAUCCAUCCUAAUUACAGGCAAGAAUUUGAUUUAUCUCCUUCGGAAUCAGAGUUAGAGUGGAAAUCCUUUUUUGUGGUAGAGAAGACUCCGUCGCCAGCUCAAAUCCCAGGACAUGUUAAAAAUCAUUCAGUGCAAAUCUCUGACAUUGAUCCUGUAGAGAACCAGAUUUUUCCGAACGUCGACAGCAAUGGAGAGCCAAAACCUGAUCAUGUUCCAGUACCCAACAUUCAAGAUUAUGAGGUUGUUUCCAGUGACCCCAUCAAAGCUGAUCUACCUCGAGUUCUGGCAGUUCCAGAUUCUGGGGAAGAAUUUAAUUUAUCUCUUUUGGACUCAGAGUUAGAGUGGAAAUCCUUUUUUGUGGGAGAGAAAACUCCGUCUCCAGCCCAAAUUCCAGGACUGAUCAAAAAUCAUUCAGUGCGAAUCACUGACAUUGAACCUGCAGAGAACCACAUUCUUCCGAACGGCGACAACAAUGAAGAGCCAAAACCUGAUCGUGUUCCAGUACCAAACAUUCAAGAUUACGAGGUUGCUUCCAGUAAUCCUUUAAAGACAACGGGAAGUGUCUCAAUGGCAGACAAGUCAACCAGCAAUCAAAUCAGCAGCAGCAGUGUCAGAUGUGUCACUGAAUCUUACGAUGCUGAUCAUGAGGCUGGCAGCGUGAUUUGUACGGAUGAAAAUAAGGUGAUGGAACCAAAGUCAAACCCUGCUCAAGUGUCACACUUUUAUCUUGAUGACUCUCAAUUUAAACUCGUCAAUUGUCACAGCACUCCAAUGGUGCCAGCUAUACUGCGAUUGAAUACAUCUUUGGAUGAGUCUGUCUCCUUCAACAGAGAAAAUUGUCUGUCUGAUUCAGGCACUCCAGGUCAAACACGUCUCAUAGGAUUCGCCAAGAAAGGUAUCAAAUCGCUGUUUCCUUCUCUCUUCAAGCAAAGAAGGAGCAAGAGCGCAGAAGAUUUGUCCUCAUUGGUCUCAAAGAGUCCGCUCGUUACAAGUGGAUCAGUCCUCUCAAAAGUUCGAAUUUUCAUUCUCCUCUGUCCACUUCAGUGAGAAACGUCCAAACUACCACUACUGUCUGCGUGAGCGAGGAAACUUCUACUUCUGCUGAGCAGACGGCAGCUUUAAGUGCUGUUUUGAAGAGAAAGCCUAUUUGGGGAUGGCCAAAACGCCGCCGGCCCAUCCGGGAAAAACAACCCCCUCGUUUCUCUGAAGACUGAAAGACUGAAGUAGACAUUGUUAGUAAGUCAUUUUUUACGCAAAUUCCCUCACAAUAGUUCAUGUGGCUGAAAAAGAAUGCCAGUAAAGGGAAAGUGAAAUUUUUAAUACUAAUUUUAAACUGUACAAAAUAAUUUAGGAUAAAUAAUGCUCUAAUAGUAAGUUUAAUUUUUAAAGAUUGAGAUUAGUUUUUCAAUUUUUAAUGUGUUCAGUCAUUUUAAGAUUUUAUCUAACAUAAUGCCAAAGUAUUUCAAUGAGGUAGCUUUUUCAAAGAUUUUGUCCUAUCGCAUCAAAGUAGGAAAAACUGUGAAAAACAAGAAAGUUAAUUUACCAGAGUUUGUCAGUUAUAUUGUAGAGUAUAUAGUUAACUAUAAUGUACGAAUCAAUCUCGAGAAUUUCAAGGAGUUUGUCACUAAUAACAUAAAGAAUAUCAUUAGCAAAUAAAGACAAAAUUUUGUUCACACUAACUUUAAGUUUCAAAGGGAAAAUACAAUCAUUCACAAAUAUAAGAAAUAAAACAGGGCCUAAGACUGACCCCUGAAAUACUCUAAAAAGAAAUUCCAACAAAGAGGAAAUAUAUUCCUAAAUUUUAUUAUUUAUUACAACGCAUUUUUUUUAUUUCUCUCUUAUUGUAACUCUUAUCUACUGUAAACUUAUCCAGUCCAAGCCUUAGCAACCUCAAGCACUCAAAGUUAAUGGGAUCAAGAUCCUUUGAAAGAUCGAAUACUGUAGUAACAGUGGCUCAAUUAAUUGUAUUGUUUUCAGCAAUUUUCUCAACUGCUGUUUUUAUAGCCACGUCCUUGGACAUAUCCUGUCUAAAAUUAAAUUGCAUGUUAUGAAGGUAUUGUUUGCCUGCAGGUACUUAUGUAAUUAUUUUAUUGCUAAUGACAAUUUCAAAAACUUUGGAAAUAGAUGAAACAAGAGACAGAGGUCUAUAGUUACUUAAGAUCCUACGAUCACCUUUUCUGAAGAGGGCAUACUUUGAUGGGGUGGGAAAUCACAAGAUGUUAAUGAGAAAUUUAAUAAGCAAACUAGACUGGGCGCUAGUUCUUCUUUGCAUUCUUUCAAAACCAGUUAUUGUUACCGUCAUGACCAACUCAUUCGCCAUUUUUUAAUUUAUCAAUUGCUCUCAGAAUCUCAUAGCUAUUUGUCUUACCUAAUUUAAAAGUAAUUGCUCGCGUGAUUACUACAAAAUUCAUUUUAAUAGGAGUCUCAUGAACAUAAUUGCAAAAGUGAACUGAAGAAUAGUAAUUCAUUGACAGUUCGGCUUCAUUUUGAAGUUAGGGAAAAAUUAGGCAGCAGUGUAUCUCGUAUUCAACUCUUGUUGUACUAAUGCAUUCAAUAUUGUUCUAUGACCCACAGGUCAACUUUGCAAGUGUAAUAAAUUUUCGCAAAUGAUCUUUGCAUACAGAUAUGUAGAUUUUUAUACAGGUUUCCAUCGGUUCAAACUAUUAACAGCUUUAAAGAGCAUGGCUGACUUUUGAGCAAUAAUCACAAUUUUUAAAGGAAGUAAACGAUUUGUACCAUUAAGUUCUUGACCUAGCAUUUUCUUUAUAAAACAAAAAUAGAAGGAUGGCAGCGUUCUCCAUAUUUCUAUCGAAUAGAAAAGUAGAAAACUCAAGCACUACAUGUUGCUUGUGAAAAUCGACCAUUUUAAAAAAUGUUGCCGUUGCCAUACACAGCUUCCUAAAAGUUUUGAGAAAACAAGACUCAAUGUGCUUAAAUGUAGCUAUUUAACCCAAAUGGGUAUUCAACAUAGGUUUCAUUUUGUUUCACCUCUAAGCAGCAGAACUUAAAAUUUUGACUCAUUGCCACAUAACAGCAAUAUUUCGGGGUUUUUGUCCCCCUUGCGUAAGCAAUUAUUCUCCCUACAACAAAAGAGCUUUUAAGAAUUGGAUCUGAAUUUGAAAUUUUAAAAAUAGAAAGAAAUCAAUUGAGUUAAUGAGAUAAAAUACAAGGAUAUUAGUACAAAGGAUCACAUUUAAUAUUGAGAAUAAAAACGACUGAGCAAUGAAUUUGAACCUCGAGGCUCAAUACAGAUCUGUAAAAUAAAUUAUGCAAACUCAAUGAUGAGAGCAUAUACCAGAUUAUUCAAGAGUCAAAAUUAACACAAAAAUUAAAUAGUUUAAAUUGGAUCUGAAUUUGAAAUUGGUCGAAAUACUACAAAAAUUAUAUAUUUAUUCAAGUUCAUUCACAUUAGAAAACAUCGAAUUCUUAUCAAGUAAUAGAAAUAAAGGUUUAUAUCAAACAUUAUGAAAAAAGUGUCAUCACACUAAUGCAGAAUUUACUAUCAAAAUAUGUAAGCGGUUGUAAUUUUUUUUACUGUGAACCCAGUGUCUUCUGGCCAACUUUGAAGCAAUAAAUUACCUACUUAGCUCUUUCAGAGGGAGAAAGUCAUGUACUUAAUCGAGUUUUUGAUGAAAAAUGUUGUUUAUGAACAUCACGCAAAGGGUUGAUAGAGUCUUGUCACAUUUCUAUCAGGUAGGUAACCAAACUGGAGCACUUGAUGCUCAUGAAAAUCACCUUUAAUCCAAUCGCUAGACACUGCAUGCGCAAAAGUCUUGCCAAUAUUGAACUAAACGUUCUACAAAGUUGCAAUUUAGCUCAUCUGGUUCAUACACACUUAGUAAGUAUACCUCAAACAAGAGGAAAAGAUUAUUCAAUAUACUAUUUGUGAAAGAAGAAGCCCUCUGUGAAGAACCCUUAUUCAUUAAAAGGUAAAGGCACUUUCAAAACACAGGAGACCUAUUGCAACUGCUGUCAUACGAUUCCAGGUACACACCGAGCGCAUUGUCAUGAAAUGGAUUACCUAAUUGCAUUUUGCAAUAAGGAACCACAAUCUCUGACUCCUCUAUAAAAGCACCUUUCAUGCUGUUUCCAAAAUGAGUUAGAAAUAGUGGUUCCUUAAUGCAAAAUGUGGUCCAAAUAGUGAGAAGCUAAAGAGGAUCUUCUCCUACCUUUUGGGAUAGAAAUAAGUUAGAAACCAAAGAUUUAAAAAUUUCAUUUGUCAAAAUAUGUGUUUAACCCCCCUUAAAACGACCCUAGUAGCAUUAGCACGUAUUUCUUUACAAUUUUCUGAAAAUUUUGCAAGAAUUUAAUUGCGAUUUUAUUGAGAUGAGAUUUCGAUUACAUUCCAAUUAAAUCUUCUUGAAGUCACCUUUUUAUUUGAAUUUAAUAGCGAUUAAAUACUUAUUAAAUUUCAAUUAUGUUGAGAUGGUAUCUGGAUUUUAUCAAAAUUAAAUAAAAAUAUUUUUUUACUUGGUAAUCUCAAAUUAGGAGUUGAAUAAGGAAAAACGUUCAAAUUGCACUGAAGCAGUUUCAGAAAAGCACUGUUACCCAAGUGCCACAUAUCAAAAUGAAAUCCACAGCUCAUUUUUGUUAAUUGACGAUUUGCACUACUGGCAUGAAGGUGCAUUAACUGUGCAAGAGGCAGCAAUCUUGGGUGUGAAGGUUGCGCACCUUAUGAAUAAUCCCGAUAAAGUACGAAUGUUAUUUCUAUAAUUUCCUGAUUUUUGUUUUUUUUUGUGUUAGAUAUUUUUAAAUGAGUAAAUACGUGUUCAAUUCCAAUUUAAAAGACAUGAUUUUUCAAUUUCAUCGCUAUAAAAAAAAUAAAAUAAAUGGGAAUAAAAAUUGAAUAUUGAUUGCAUAAAAUUGCUACAAAAUCGCUACAAAAUUGAAAUUUUUUUUUUUUAAAAAGUCGAGAUCAAAUUGAAGUAAAAUCGCGAUUAAAUUGACAUUUUCCUCCAAU
rnacentral:lncRNA from 1 species